rnacentral:rRNA from 1 species
UCAAGCGAACAAGAGCGUAAGGUGAAUGCCUUGGCAUCAGGAGCCGAAGAAGGACGCGACAAGCUGCGAUAAGCUGCGGGGAGCUGCAAAUAAGCAUUGAUCCGCAGAUUUCCGAAUGUGGAAACACACACGGUGAAGAACCGUGUAGCGUAAACUGAAUACAUAGGUUUACGCGGGGAACCCCGGGAACUGAAACAUCUAAGUACCGGGAGGAAGAGAAAUCAACCGAGAUUCCGCGAGUAGUGGCGAGCGAAAGCGGAGGAGGCUAAACCGACAGUAGAAAUACGGUCGGGGUUCGGACUGUUGUAAGCGAGCGGAAGUUAGUCGAAUGGCAUGGGAAGGCCAGCCGGAGGGAGUGAAAGCCUCGUAGGCGAAAACGGAAGCGAGUGAACAGAAUCCAGAGUAUCAGCGGACACGAGAAAUCCGGUGAGAACGUGGGGGGACCACCCUCUAAGCCUAAAUACUACCUGAUGACCGAUAGUGGAGCAGUACUGUGAAGGAAAGGUGAAAAGAACCCCGGGAGGGGAGUGAAAGAGAACCUGAAACCUUAUGCUUACAAGCACACAGAGCCCCGUAUGCGGGUGAUGUGGUACUUUUUGUAGAACGGUCCGGCGAGUUAUGGUAUGCAGCGAGGUUAAGUGAUUCAGUCACGGAGCCGCAGGGAAACCGAGUGUGAACAGCACGUAGAGUUGCAUGUCAUAGACCCGAAACCGGGUGACCUAUCCAUGAGCAGGUUGAAGUCAGGGUAAAGCCUGAUGGAGGACCGAACCGACCCCCGUUGAAAAGUUGGCGGAUGACUUGUGGAUAGCGGAGAAAUUCCAAUCGAACCCGGAUAUAGCUGGUUCUCCCCGAAAUAGCUUUAGGGCUAGCCUCGAAUAUAUUUACCGGAGGUAAAGCACUGAAUGGUCGAGGGGUCGAGAGACUACCAACACCUAUCAAACUAAGAAUACCGGAUAAAUGAGUUCGGGAGUCAGACUACGUGAGAUAAGUCUCGUGGUCAAAAGGGAAACAGCCCAGACCCACAGCUAAGGUCCCCAAUGUAUGCUAAGUGGAAAACGAUGUGACAAUGCUAAGACAACUAGGAUGUUGGCUUAGAAGCAGCCACUCAUUCAAAGAGUGCGUAAUAGCUCACUAGUCGAGUGAUGUUGCGCGGAAAAUUCAACGGGGCUAAGCAUACAACCGAAGCUUGGGCAGUAGAGAUACUGGGUAGGGGAGCGUUCUGUACGGGCAGAAGCAUCAGCGGAAGCAGAUGUGGACUGUACAGAAGUGAGAAUGCCGGAAUGAGUAGCGAGAAUUGUGUGAGAAUCAUAAUGGCCGAAAAUCUAAGGUUUCCGGGGGUAGGGUCGUCCACCCCGGGUUAGCCGGGAGCUAAGGCGAGGCCGCGAGGCGUAGUCGAUGCACAAACGGUAGAGAUUCCGUUGCCGCCAGAUCUUAAGUAACUGACACGAGGGUAGAGUUCAACCCGGCCGAUGGUAGAGCCGGGCGAAAGGGACUGAAGAAUAGUAGGGAAGUGAACGAAGCCAGCGGCGAGAAAAGGUUAUGUAUGAAAUCAGGCGCCCGUACCGCAAACCGACACAGGUAGAUGAGGAGAGGAUCCUAAGGCCAGCGGGAGAAGGGUUGUUAAGGAACUCGGCAUAUUGACCCCGUAACUUCGGAAGAAGGGGUGCCUCCGUAAGGAGGCCGCAGUGAAAAGGCCCAGGCAACUGUUUAUCAAAAACACAGGUUUCUGCAAAAGCGAAAGCUGAAGUAUAGGAGCUGACGCCUGCCCGGUGCUGGAAGGUCAAGGGGAUCGCUUAGCGCAAGCGAAGGCGAGAACUUAAGCCCCAGUAAACGGCGGCCGUAACUAUAACGGUCCUAAGGUAGCGAAAUUCCUUGCCAGGUAAGUUCUGGCCUGCACGAAUGGCGUAAUGAUCUGGGCACUGUCUCAACAGCCCGCCCGGCGAAAUUGUAGUACCGGUGAAGAUGCCGGUUUCCUGCGACUAGACGGAAAGACCCCAUGGAGCUUUACUGUAGUCUGAUACUGAAAUUUGGUUCAUUAUGCACAGGAUAGGUGGGAGACAGAGAAACCCGGGCUUUGGCUUGGGCGGAGUCGCCGUUGGGAUACCACUCUUGAUGAACCAAGUUUCUAACCUGCUCCCGUGAUCCGGGAGGGGGACAAUGUCAG